CCCAGUCGUGUGCUCGCUCUGUCCUCUUUUUCCUGCAGAGUUGCAAUUGUUUCACCUAUUUCAGCCAUAGCAGGGUCUUCAGACACUGCAUAGGAAGCAUGGGUCGGCAGAUCUAAUAUAAGAAAAGAGUAUAUGCUCAAGAAGCUGAUGUUUCAAAGUGGGCCUUUCAAAAGUGCAUGGAAUGUUGAAGUCGAAGUCGCAUUCUGCGUAGUGAAAGACGGCAUCAUCGCUCUUCAGGACAUGCAUCAGUGAGCCAGCCUUCCUAAUACGGGAAGAAGUGGAUGUGCCAGGGUGAACGGGGUGUUGCAUAACUGAGGGCAAUUCAGCACAUGAUUUAGAAAAGAGCAGUUCUGCUCCAGGCAGGCAUGGGCUAAACCUUUGACAUAUUAAUCACGAGCCUUGCUCGCACCAUCCUUCAUUCGACCCAGCUCCAGCGGCAGCGGAUGAUAGUGAAUGGGAGAUAGAAGAGGCAAUCCAGACAAGCAUAGACCCCACCUAGUAGGCUGCUCUAUUCUCAGCUUUACACCCAGAUUCUGGUUUCAAGCUUCACGUGGAAGGACACCAGUAGAUGCUGAUGGGUGAAAUGGUUAAAAAAAAAAAAAAAA